UACGUAGGGUGCGAGCGUUGUCCGGAAUUAUUGGGCGUAAAGAGCUCGUAGGCGGCCAGUUGCGUCCGCUGUGAAAUCCCGGGGCUUAACCCCGGGCGUGCAGUGGAUACGGGCUGGCUGGAGGCAGGCAGGGGAGAACGGAAUUCCUGGUGUAGCGGUGAAAUGCGCAGAUAUCAGGAGGAACACCGGUGGCGAAGGCGGUUCUCUGGGCCUGUACUGACGCUGAGGAGCGAAAGCGUGGGGAGCGAACAGG
rnacentral:rRNA from 1 species